GGCGGGUUAGCUCAGUUGGUCAGAGCAGGCGUUUCAUACGCGCCGGGCCCUCGGUUCGAGUCCGAGACCCGCCACCA
rnacentral:tRNA from 1 species